rnacentral:rRNA from 1 species
AGAGUUUGAUCCUGGCUCAGGAUGAACGCUAGCGGCAGGCUUAAUACAUGCAAGUCGUGGGGCAGCGCGGGUAGCAAUACCUGGCGGCGACCGGCAAACGGGUGCGGAACACGUACGCAACCUUCCUUUAAGCGGGGGAUAGCCCAGGGAAACUUGGAUUAAUACCCCAUGUGAUUGUUGGGUGGCAUCACCUGACAAUG